GACAGAGGGUGCAAACGUUGUUCGGAAUUACUGGGCGUAAAGCGCGUGUAGGCUGCUUCGCAAGUCGGAUGUGAAAGCCCUGGGCUCAACCCGGGAAGUGCAUUCGAAACUGCAGAGCUGGAGUCCUGGAGAGGAAGGCGGAAUUCUCGGUGUAGAGGUGAAAUUCGUAGAUAUCGAGAGGAACACCGGUGGCGAAGGCGGCCUUCUGGACAGUGACUGACGCUGAGACGCGAAAGCGUGGGGAGCAAACAGG
rnacentral:rRNA from 1 species